GAUGAACGCUGACAGAAUGCUUAACACAUGCAAGUCGAUGGGGAAGUGGUGCUUGCACCAUGGCAACCAUGGCGGACGGGUGAGUAACGCGUAAGGGACUUACCUGCAGGACUGGGAUAACAGGGGGAAACUCCUGACAAGACCGGAUAAUGUCAUGGAGCUGCAUGGCUUUAUGAUGAAAGGAGACGCCUGCGGAGAGCCUUGCGUCCUAUUAGCUAGUUGGUGAGGUAAUGGCUCACCAAGGCGAAGAUAGGUAGCCGGCCUGAGAGGGUGGACGGCCACAAGGGGACUGAGAUACGGCCCUUACUCCUACGGGGGGCAGGGGGGGGGAAUAUUGGACAAUGGGGGCCACCCUGAUCCAGCAAUUCUGUGGGCACAAAGAGGGUUUUCGGUUGGAAAAGUUCUUUCAGCAGGGAAGAAGUAAGUGACGGUACCGGAAGAAGAAGCGACGGCUAAAUACGG
rnacentral:rRNA from 1 species